CGAUUCAUCCUAUCCAAUUCCAACUUGACCCUGCCGAUCCCAUUUCUGAUUGGUUACCCAGAUAUGAUUGUAUAGAUAAUACAUAAUAUAGCAUACUUGAAUUAAAAUAUUAAUGUGGAGCAUGGCCAAAAAAUAAGCAGAGAAAAGAUGUUUAUAAAUCAAUUUAAUAUGAAAUAUGUUAGUGUUAAAUUAUGUCUUGUCCAUCCAGUUGACAAAAUUCAAUAUUCACACCUUAUAUGAAGUGUUAAUAGUACACUUCUUUAUAAGUAGAUGUAUGUAUAUGAUAGAAAAGGUUGAAAACAUGAAUUUUUCGAGACAUUCUUAAUAUUAUUAUAAAUAGUUUAUUAUCUGAAGUGGAAUAGUUAUUCAAUCUGGAACCACACUUGUACAGUUUUCAGAAGUUACACUCCAACGAUAUUUUGAAAAGUCUGGAAAAAGAAUUGUUUGAAAGGUAAUAUGUUAUUCUACUUGGUACAUAUAUGCAGAAUUACAGGAGUAAUUUAUAUUUCUUGUUGCCAUGCUUAUUUACAGUACUUACACCAGUUCAUUUUUUUCUUCAGUUUGAGCUGCAAGUUGAAGCAGGAAAAUGGUGUCAAGUGUCAAGGCAAGCCAAAGAAGCAGUACUGGAUUUCCCCCAGAAAAGUAUGAAGAAUGUGUGUGAAAAAAGUGACUGUGUUCAUUUGUAGUAUUUAAAGUGAAGAAAGAACAUAAAAAUUUUAAUCAUUGGAAUUGAUACUUUUUGUGGGGGUGGGAAUCUGUGUCCUUUGUAGUCCAGUUCCUUCCCAUCAGUCCUAACCCCAUUUCAUCUUGACCCAGCCCAUCCCAUUCCUGAUUUGUAAUCCAGAUAUGAAUGUACAAAUAAUAUAUAUCAUAUUUGAAUUAAAAUAUUAAUAUAGAGCAUGGCCACAAAAUAAGCAGAGAGAUGUGUAUAGAUGAAUUUAAUAUGAAAUAUGUUAGUAUGAAAAUAUGUCUUAUGCAUGCAGUUGUCACAUACAAUAGUAACACUUUAUAAGAAUUGAUAAAAGUACACUUCUUUGUAAGUAAAUAUAUGUAUAUGAUGGAAAAGGUUGAAACAUGUGUUUUUGGGAGACAUUUAUAAUAUUGUUAUGGAUUCAGUCUAUUAUCUUAAAUGGAAUAAUUAUUGAAUCUGGAACCACUCUUGUGUAGAGCAUGGGAACAAAAUAAGCAGAGUAUGGAUUUGUAUAAAUGAAUUCAAUAUGAAAUAAUUGUUCAUGUGAAAAUAUGUCUUAUUAAUGCAAUGAACAUUAAAUUUUGCUAUAGUUAAACUUGAUUAGAAGUGGUAAAAGUACAUUUCUUUGUAAAAAUGUAUAUAUGAUAGAAAAGGUCAAUAGACUGCCAAUGACAACUGACUAAUUUGUCCCAUUCAUAUGUAUAGUCAGCGAUUGAUUGGACUUUAUUAUGAAGCAGAAAAGGAAUAUAAAAGUGCAAUAGAAAGGAUUUAAUAUGAAGCAAGGAAAGAUCAUCUAAAUAUUAUAAAAAGUGACAUAAUUAAAAAUGUUAAUUAUUAGAAUUGAUACUUCUGUGGGGGUGGGAAUCUCUGUCCUGUCUAUACCAUUUAUUCCGAUUCAUCCUAUCCAAUUCCAGCUUGACCCUGCCCAUCCCAUUUCUGAUUGGUUACCCAGAUAUGAUUGUAUAAAUAAUACAUAAUAUAGCAUACUUGAAUUAAAAUAUUAAUGUGGAGCAUGGCCAAAAAAUAAGCAGAGAAAAGAUGUGUAUAAAUCAAUUUAAUAUGAAAUAUGUUAGUAUUAAAUCAUGUCUUACUCAUCCAAUUUAUAAUUCUAUAUUCACAGUUAUAUGAAGUGUUAAUAGUACACUUCUUUAUAAGUAGAUGUAUGUAUAUGAUAGAAAAGGUUGAAAACAUGAAUUUUUCGAGACAUUCUUAAUAUUAUUAUAAAUAGUUUAUUAUCUGAAGUGGAAUAGUUAUUCAAUCUGGAACCACACUUGUACAGUUUUCAGAAGUUACACUCCAACGAUAUUUUGAAAAAUCUGGAAAAAGAAUUGUUUGAAAGGUAAUAAUGUUAUUCUACUUGGUACAUAUAUGCAGAAUUACAGGAGUAAUUUAUAUUUAUUGUUGCCAUGCUUAUUUACAGUACUUAUACCAGUUCAUUGUUUCUUCAGUUUGAGCUGGCAAGUUGAAGCAGGAAAAUGGUGUCAAGUGUCAAGGCAAGCCAAAGAAGCAGUACUGGAUUUCCCCCAGAAAAUCAUAUUUGCUGAAUUUGCUGACCAAUGUUGAAGCUGUGGAUUUUCCCUGGGAAAGAAUGAAGAAUGUUUUCAAGAAGAGACUGUAUUCAUUUGUAGUGUUUGAAGUGACAAAAGAAUAACAAAUUGGUACUUACUGGAAUUUUUUUUUUUUUGUGGAGUUGGAAAUCUCCGUCCUGUCUAUUCCUGUUCCUUCCCAUUCUGUCUUGUCCCAUCCUGACCUGGCCCAUCCAUUCCUGAUUGAUAAUCUAGAAGUGUUUGUAAAUAGAACUUGUUGCAUAUUUGAAUUGUAUAUUGAAGUAGUGCUUUAGAUAUGGCCACAAAAUAUGCUGAAAAAGACAGUGUAUAAAAAAUAUUAAUACCAAAUAUGUUAGUGUGAAAAUGUGUUUUAUUUAUGCUAUGGAUACUUAGUUUAGUUUAUUAUUGUAUAAAACUAAAGUGUGUUUCAGGAAAGUAUAAUAAUUAUUUAUAAGUCUAUACGAGUUUUGUUAAACAUAUGGAUACAGUUAUACAGUAUUAUACAGGAUAUAAGAUAGAAUAAAUAUUAAACCUGGAAUGACAUUUGUAGCAAUAUGUAAGGGAAAACUAUUGGGUAUAUAAACAUUGAAUGUAACAACAUGACAAGUCUCUUACAUUAUACUGUUUCUAGAGACAGAAGACAAAAAGAUGUUGAAUGUGACAGCUGGAAAUUAAAGUAGCAGGCUACAAGACUGGAUAGGCACUGGUAUGUAUUGUUGUUUAUAAUGAUACUUGUAGUGUUGUUUAUAAAAGGUUUCAUUGAUAUGUUCACCUGUUCAACACAGGUAAAUGUCAACUUCUCCACUCAUAUUAGAGGUGGAGGAUGAUUGAUUUAGACUUUAGUUUACCAGGAUUUAACUAAUAUAUUCCAUGUAACUUUUACCAUGAUUUUAGAUGCCUAAGUUCCAAAACUUAUUAGCAGAAACGCCCAUGGAUGAAGAAUCAGAAGGCUUAAUCAACAGAUGGUGAAAAUUGUCACAUGCUGUAAGAAAAAUGUCAGCUGGAAAGAUAUAAUCCCUCACACCACCAGUACCAACUCGGACAGAUGGUAUCUCAACAUAUAGUAGAUUCACGGUGAUACAUCAUAGAGCAGAUAUAGCUGGUCAAAUCAUACAAGAAUGUUGAGACAUGUGUAGUUGGUUUCCUGUGAAGAAGAAUGUAUAAUGUAACAGCUGCAGCCAGAGAGUUCGGAGAAAGGGAUCAGCUCAAAGAACAUUGGAGAGGUCUGAUGACAAUAUUGAUAUAGGUUAUGAAGGUGAUCUACAACAUGGUUCUACAGCUGCCAAUGAACUUCGGUAGAAGAGCUGGUAUAUAGGGGAAUGGAGUGAGCAGAUUGCAGUACAGUCAAACCUGUCUAUAAAGACCACCCUUGGGAGAGCCAAAAUGUAGUCUUUAUUGGGAGGUGGUCUUUAUUCACAGGUUAAAAUAUAAAUGUUAAAAUGGAAACAAAACAUGUGUUCUUUAGAGCCAGGUGGUCUUUAAGACAGGUUUGAUUGUAUACACAUCAGUGGAAGUGGAAUAGGCAGAUUUCAAUAUAUACAACAUCAGUGGGAAAAGCACAAUGAAGUUCAGCUGUUUCCAGCUUGAAACACAUGCCAAUGUGGACAGCCUAGGAGGUCCUCAUCAAGUUGCAAUAGAUUCAUUAAAAAAAGAAAUGGAGUAAGCUGUACUUACUGUAUUCUGCUACCUGUAAAAAUGGGGAAUCUUCAGAAGCACAUAAUGACAUGGUCAACAUCAUGGAAGUUCAUGGAGUAUGCCCGUGGCCAGACAAAUCUUCAUCUCUUGG